rnacentral:rRNA from 1 species
GUGGGGAAUAUUGGACAAUGGGCGCAAGCCUGAUCCAGCCAUGCCGCGUGAGUGAUGAAGGCCUUAGGGUUGUAAAGCUCUUUCAGUGGGGACGAUAAUGACGGUACCCACAGAAGAAGCCCCGGCUAACUUCGUGCCAGCAGCCGCGGUAAUACGAAGGGGGCUAGCGUUGUUCGGAUUUACUGGGCGUAAAGCGCACGUAGGCGGAUCGUUAAGUCGGGGGUGAAAUCCUGGAGCUCAACUCCAGAACUGCCUUCGAUACUGGCGAUCUUGAGUCCGGAAGAGGUGAGUGGAACUCCUAGUGUAGAGGUGGAAUUCGUAGAUAUUCGCAGGAACACCAGUGGCGAAGGCGGCUGACUGGUCCAUUACUGACGCUGAGGUGCGAAAGCGUGGGGAGCAAACAGGAUUAGAAACCCUAGUAGUCC